rnacentral:rRNA from 1 species
AUUGAACGCUGGCGGCAGGCCUAACACAUGCAAGUCGAACGAGUGGCGGACGGGUGAGUAAUGUCUGGGAAACUGCCUGAUGGAGGGGGAUAACUCCUGGAAACGGUAGCUAAUACCGCAUACCAUCAGAUGUGCCCAGAUGGGAUUAGCUUGUUGGUGGGGGAACGGCUCACCAAGGCGACGAUCCCUAGCUGGGCUGAGAGGAUGACCAGCCACACGGGAACUGAGACACGGUCCAGAGUACUACGGGAGGCAGCAGUGGGGAAUAUUGCACAAUGGGAGAAAGGCGGAUGGAGCAAUGCCGCGUGUAUGAAGAAGGCCUUAGGGUUGUAAAGUACUUUAAGCGGGGAGGCGUUACCCGAAGAAGAAGCACCGGCUAACUCCGUGCCAGCAGCCGCGGUAAUAC